rnacentral:rRNA from 1 species
AGCGAACGCUAGCGGGAUGCCUCAAACAUGCAAGUCGUACGCGAAAGUGACUUCGGUCAUUAGUAGAGUGGCGCACGGGUGCGUAACACGUAACUAACGUACCUCAUCGCUGGGGAUAACUCCGGGAAACCGGAGCUAAUACCGAAUAUCUGUCAGAGUCUGCGGACUUUGCCGGGAAAGCCGUAAGGCGCGGUGAGAUCGGGUUGCGGCAGAUUAGUUUGUUGGUGGGGUAACGGCCUACCAAGACUACGAUCUGUAGCUGGUCUGAGAGGAUGAUCAGCCACACUGGAACUGGAACACGGUCCAGACUCCCACGGGAGGCAGCAGUUGGGAAUAUUGGACAAUGGGAGAAAUCCUGAUCCAGCAAUCCCGCGUGAGUGAUGAAGGCCUUCGGGUCGUAAAGCUCUUUUAGUAGGGACGAAGGGAAACUUGACGGUACCUACAGAAAAAGCACCGGCUAACUCUGUG